AGGGCACCACCAGGAGUGGAGCCUGCGGCUUAAUUUGACUCAACACGGGAAAACUCACCCGGCCCGGACACCGUAAGGAUUGACAGACUGAGAGCUCUUUCUUAAUUCGGUGGGUGGUGGUGCAUGGCCGUUCUUAGUUGGUGGGGCGAUUUGUCUGGUUAAUUCCGAUAACGAACGAGACUCUGGCCUAUUAAAUAGACGGUAUAUCGAAAAGUAUAUCGCGCUUCUUAGAGGGACAAGCGGCGUCUAGCCGCAUGAAAUAGAGCAAUAACAGGUCUGUGAUGCCCUUAGAUGUCCGGGGCUGCACGCGCGCUACACUGAAAGAAUCAGAGUGCGCAAUACCUAGUUCGGAAGGACCGGGUAACCCAAGUAAAUUCUUUCGUGCUUGGGAUAGGGAAUUGCAAUUAUUUCCCUUAAACGAGGAAUUCCCAGUAAAUGCGGGUCAUAAGCUCGCGUUGAUUACGUCCCUGCCCUUUGUACACACCGCCCGUCGCUACUACCGAUUGGAUGACUUAGUGA
rnacentral:rRNA from 1 species